rnacentral:lncRNA from 1 species
GCUCCAGGGGCCGCCGCGCCGGCGUCGGCGCGAGGUCCAUAAAUCAACAAUUACACAGGGGCGUAUAUGCAAAAGAAACACACAGAGAGGAAAUAACCUAAAGAAAGAAAAAGACCAAAGGACUGGAUAUUAAUUCUGUGUGGGUUCGAGGGGCUGAUUAGCUUAAUUUACUUGGCUAAACUAGCCAAGGGUUUGGUCUGAUGGAAUGGAGGAUGGGGGAAGGCAGAGGAGGUAUUUAAGGGAAGGGAAGGCCCUAAGGGGUCCCACACAAACAAUGCUUAAU